rnacentral:ncRNA from 1 species
ACCUUUCCGGAUUAAAAGGGAACUUGGGUGAGAAUCCCAGACAGUCCCGCUGCUGUGAGCUCAUGAGAACGUUUAGGGCAAUACCUGGAAGCCACUGUCUUUGCGCGAAGACGGGAAGGCUGCCCCAAAACGGAGCGAGUCAGAAGACCUGCCAUGUGUUUAUG